ensembl:lincRNA
AUGCCAAUGAAAUCACGCAGGCCUGAGCCCGACUUCGAGGGGAGAGCUUGCCUCUGGCCGGGGUGGCUGAUGGAAACCAGAGCCUGGGAACGCUGUCCCGGCCAGGUGGCCAGAUGCGGCCGCCUUGGCAGCUCACGCGAUGUUUCUACCGGACAGAGCUACGCUGGGCUAUGGGUACUGGGGUCUGGGAAUGGGCCUUGCCCGCAGCCCGCUUCCUCUGGACACCACUGUCCCUCCCCACCCAGGGACAAAACCCUUCGCCCAGCGGCCAGGAACCCAGGCCCUCACGGCCUCACCUGUGUGCACUGCCUGUGUGCAUUGACUCGGGGAUGGGUCUUGCACACUCAGCUGUCUGGGACUCCUUUGUAAAGCAUGUAAGUGUGCAUAGGAACACGCACACGCGUGCUCGAGGGCCCUGACUCUCCACUGCAGGCCAUGUCAACUGUGCCGGCUGGUGUUCAGAGAGAGUCGGUUCACAGGGCACCGAAAGGCCAUCUGACCCUUUGCUCUGGGACUCGCCCAAGGCCCCAUCAUGACUUUCCUGGACUCAAGCACUUUCGCUUUCAUGGCUCCUUCCUCCGUAAAUAUUAAAAAUUAUAUUUUAUGACUGCAUUGGUGUCAAGAACAAUAUAACCCACACUGAAUUCAUCAUUAUGUGUUCAUUAUUGCUAUAGUCAUUUUUUUUUCUUCUGAUUAAAAUUAAAACCUAUUUCUGAACCCUGGGUACUGUGCUCGCCUGGACCAUCGCUCCGAGCACCCCUGACCACUCACUGAGCAGCGUCCUCACCCACAGAGGCGCGCCGGCCUCUCUUUCUGCAUUUGGGGCUCCCCUGCCCCCCCUCCAGUGACCAGAUCACCCUCUAGAAUUCCUUCCUCAAGUCCUGCCGUGGAUGAAUGGCUUGUGAAGUCCCACUAGACACCAAAACCUUUCUACAUUAUUUUAAAAAUACAAGUAUUGAUCAUGAGCAAGGCCCAGGAUCGCAGCAUGACUGAAGGCCCCAAGUCGGCGAGAACCAAGCCCCCCCAUUCCCUCCCAGCUCAGUGCUGGGGUCCCCGACCGGGUGCUCUGGGUGCCACAUUCACCACCAUGAGACGAGCCCACUAAAUAUGUGAUGGCGACCCAAGGGGCAAGUGUUAGGGUGUGCAGUGGGCCACCACCAGCCAGCUCUGGGCACCCAUGCCCUCCAGGCCUCACACCCCCGUGUGGGGCCCAGCUUCUGGAACUGGGGUGAAGAGGCUGGGCUUCUCAGCCCCUCUCGGAAGGAGGCAUCCAAAGCUCUGGCCACCCACCCCUCCUCUGGCGCCACCGUGCAGGGCCUGGGCCACCCUGUGGGGGAAGACGGUGCAGGAGAUGGUUAAAAUUCUGCAUCCUUUUUGCAUCCGCCUCCAGAGGAAGCGCUGCUUUUUUUUUCUCUCUCUCUCUCAAGCAGGAGGAGAAAAAAAAAAAAGCUGAGAGCAGCAAUUUGCAGGCCUUGGGAUGUUUUUCUCCUUGACAGUCCUGGGCCCCGCCUCCCUGGUCCUUCCUCUGGCCAGAGCGGCCACAGCGCGGUCUGCAGCGGCUGGCCGGCCCCGUGC